rnacentral:rRNA from 1 species
CCUACGGGUGGCAGCAGUGAGGAAUAUUGGUCAAUGGACGCAGGCCUGAACCAGCCAAGUCGCGUGAGGGAAGACUGCCCUAUGGGUUGUAAACCUCUUUUAUAAGGGAAUAAUAAUUACUACGUGUAGUCAUUUGCACGUACCUUAUGAAUAAGCAUCGGCUAACUCCGUGCCAGCAGCCGCGGUAAUACGGAGGAUGCGAAGUUUAUCCGGAUUUAUUGGGUUUAAAGGGUGCGUAGGCGGUAUUUUAAGUUCGUGGUACAACGUGGGGGCUUCACCGUGAUGGGCCAUUAAAACUGGAGUACUAGAGUACAGACGAGGUAGGCGGAAUAAGUGAAGUAGCGGUGAAAUGCUUAGAUAUAACGUAGAACCCCGAUAGCGAAGGCAGCUUACCAGACUGUUACUGACGCUGAAGCACGAGAGUGUGGGUAGCGAACAGGAUUAGAUACCCUUGUAGUC